AGAGUGAGUUUAUCGGCUUCAGCUACUAGCAGGGCUGCUGCAGCUACAGCUCUUAAACAAGGUGGAAGUCCGCUGGCCACUGCAUCCAGUUGCUUAGACAUGUAGGCAACAGGUCUUUGCCAUGAUCCCAAGUACUGUGUCAAUACUCCCACAGCCAUUCUUCUUUGCUCAUGUACAUACAGGUAGAAUGCCCGUGUGUGGUCAGGUAGACCUAAUGCUGGGGCACUCAUCAAAGCCCUCUUCACAUCUUCGAAUGCCGUUUGCUGUUCUUGAGUCCAUAAGAAGGGGUCGUGCUCUGUACCUUAGAUAGCUGCAUACAGAGGUUUUGCCAGUAUCGCGUAG